CAAAUGAUCCACCUGCCUCAGCCUCCCAAAGUGCUGGGAUUACAGGCAUGAACCACUGCGCCCGGCCAUUUUUAAAAUAUGAGCUUUUAAUUUACUUGAGAUAUUUACCUUUUUUCAUAUUUGUUGCAAAUGUCUUUGGUUGAGACGCUCUGGAGUCAGACUUGCAUGUGAAUGCAUUCUGACUUCACUACCUCCUACUUGUGUGAUACUGGGUAAAUUACCAUAAAAUGGAGAUAAGAAUAGUUGAUUAAAAAAAAAAAAUGUAGAGAACUUUUUAGCUCCCUUGAGGCUGGGCUGCGCUAUUCUAAGGGGGACUCCGAGCCUGGGCUAUUUCUGGCGCUGGCGCGGCUCCAGGAAGGCAUCCGCAUUUGCAACCAGCUGUGGCAGCGGUGGAGCCUGGCCGGGCCUCAGCGCCCAGCACCGCCGCUCCCGCCAAACCGGAGCAUGCACCACAGGCUGGCGGCCGAGUUCGCCCAUCCCAGCCAUCACUCUUCCACCUGCUCCUUAGAGAAGGGAAGAUGAGCAAGUCAAGCUCAAAGUCCAGCCAGUCCUUGGCCUCCAAGCAGAAAAAGGACGGCACUGAGAAGCGGGGCCGUGGCAGGCCCCACCAGCAGCCUCCGGUGAGUCCCGGGACAUCGCUGGUAUGGAGUCAGAAGGAGCCCAGCGAAAUGCCAACACCUAAGAGACCUCGGGCCGACCAAAGGGAAGCAAAAACAAGGGUGCUGCUAAGACCCGGAAAACCACCACAACUCCAGGAAGGAAACCAAGGGAAAGACCCAAAAAACUGGAGAAGGAGGAAGAGAAGGGCAUCUCGCAGGAGUCCUCACUGAAGGAGCAGCUUCCUUCUGGGACUGGACAGCUUUGAUCCACUCCCACCCCGCCACACCCUCCACCCCCUGCCGACACCCACCAUCACCACCGCCUCCUGCCACCACCCCCAUCUUCCACCUGCCCCUCACCACCACACUACACAACACACCAGCCGCUGCAGGGUCCCUAUGGGCUGAGUGGGGAGGACUUUUCCCCUGGCCUGUUCCCACCCUUAACCCCCACCCACGCACUCAUACAUAUGUGCCCUCCUGGACAAGGCUAAUGUCCCACUUAGUCGCACCCUGCACCUGCUGCGUCCCCACUCCCUUGGUGGUGGGGACAUUGUUCUCUGCGCUUUUGGUUUGGGGGCCACCUCUCUGCUCCUUCACUGUUCCCUCUGGCUUCCCAUAGAGGAGCCUGGGAGGGCUCCCCUGGCCUUAAAAGGGGCCCAAGCCCCCAUUCUGGCACACCCCACUCCACUGUCCUGGCAGCAGCAGGUGUGGCCAAUGGAGGGGGGUGCUGGCCCCCAGGAUUCCCCCAGCCAAACUGUCUUUGUCACCAUGUGAGGCUCACACCUUUCAUCCUUCCCCACCUUCCCUAGUCCCUGCACUAGAUUGGGCAGCCCCCAUUGGCUACAGGAAAGCAGGAGGGGUGUGACUCCCCUACUCCCUCUUUGCAGUGGCCCCAGCCCCCUUACCCUCUGCCUGGGUACUGAGUGCAUAUUGCAGUGAUGGAGAUGCAGUCACCUAUUGUCCAGGUGAGGCCCAUGAGCCCUGUGGCAGCCACCUGAGGUGGGCUGGGGCUGCUCCCCCAACCCUACUUUGCUUCUACCACUUGGCCAUUUCCCCCUCCUCAGAUGGGGCACCAAUAACAAGGAAACCACCUUUCCCACUCCCAACCCUCCUGCUCCUGCCACCCCCCAAGGUUCUGGUUCCAUUUUUCCUUUGUUCACAAACUACCUCCAGACAGUUGUUUUGUUUUUGGUUCAAUGUUCCAUUCUUUGACAUCCGUUAUUGCUACUGCUACCAGCGCUAAAUAUUUGUUCAUCCACAUUGCCUCCUGCUCUGCACAUGAUCCCCUCCCCCAAGUUACUCUUCGUGGGGAAGAGGGGCUGGGGCAUGGCAGGCUGGGUGACCGACUACUCCAGUCGGGGUCCUGCCCCUAGGAUGCUGCCGCAGAGGGAGCAAGGGGGCCCGAAUCCACCAUAAAGGGUGUAGGGGCCACCUCCUUCCCCUGGUCUGUCAGGGAUGGGUAGCCAUUAUUUGUCCCAGCCUGGGGCUCCCCCUCUGAUUUCCUAUUUGCAGUUACUUGAAU